rnacentral:lncRNA from 1 species
AUUUUAAUCGUUUCGAAAAUGCCAAAAAUUCCCCUGGCUUUCCCCCAGUGGUUGUGGUUAGAUUAUGUAUGAGGUUUUUGACAUUAUUUACCCAGAUGAGGGAAGGAUUACAUAAGAGGGCUGCAAGCCUAUAAAAGUGUCCUCACUUGGCACAGACAGGAACCAGGUUAGACUUUUUCAAAGGCAGCUGAAACCUGUAGCUGCAUAGAAAAAAAAAAAAAUCAGAAGAACAGAACUUCUCUGGGAGAUAGACACUAAGAUUACUUUGCAUAGAACUAUUUCUCAUGUUUUCUUCUGAUAGUAUUCCCAGUUGGACAGAAAGCACCUGAAUCUGCUUGGAUGAUGAACAGGAGAAAGCAUUCCUGGGCAGCCAUUGUGGGAGGAAACAAGAAGGGGGAGAAAAUGGCUGGGGAAAAUGCAAGAAUGCUGCCCAAGGCCACACGUGAGGAGAGAAAGAAGCAGGAGGCAAAGAGGAAAGAGAAAUUGAAAACCUUGGCUGGCAAAUUGCUGAAGACUGCGGUUGGUGGGAAGGAAACGGUGGAGAAGGCUGGUGCUGAGGAUGUGGCAGGGAAUUUGCUGAAGAGGCCAAGCAGUAGGAAAGGAGUGGAGAGAGGGCUGCCUGCAGAGGAAACCAUCUGCAGAUUCAUUGAGCAAGGAAAAUUUUUGGAAGCUUGUGAUCAAAUUCAUAAUCUGGAGCAUUCUGGAAGUGAUGGUAUGGGGAAGUCUGAAUCACUUUAUGUGCUGCUGGCUGAACGAAUGUGGACUGUAGUGGGAGAAGCAUUGGGUGGAAGUGAUAGGAUGCUCCUGGAGCCAUUGCAGUCAGUGGGGGAAUCACUGAAGUGGGAGAAGCAGAAGGAAGCAGAGCGGCUUGGCAACGGCCUAGAGACAGAUUCUGUUUCCACCUGGAGCCCAAACUUCUGGAGAAAAGAUCUGGAGGAAAAGCUAAUGCAGUACAUGACUGCCCAGAUCCCCCUGUUUGCUUCCUCUGCUAACACAGAUGAGACUGCACUAAAACAACACCUGAGUCAUCUGGAAAUGACGUUUCUCCCCAGUCUGGAGCACAGAAGUGAUGUCUUCAAGGAAGCAGGAUUGCUCGUCACCUAUGCCCGCUGCUGUCAUGCCUCUUUGUGUUCUCACCUGGCCACACUUACUGACAGGAACUGUUUCAGCUUCAGCCAAAGCCUUUUAAUUCAUGGAUGGAUCAUUAAAAUGUACAAAAGAGGCAGCCAGGCAUGUGAGAGACCCGGGCACAGCCCCCAGCACAGCCUUUCCCCUGGUGCACAGUGCCUCGUGUGGAUUCUCUGGAA